UUUUUUCUAUGCGUUUUGUGAUGUCAUUAGCAUGCGGUUCAUAGAUUUGCUUGAACAACUUAGUUCAGUAAUUUAUUUGAACAUAUUUAGUUUCAGUAACAUGGGGGCAUGUAGAAAAUGGAUUUUACGUAUUUUCUCAUAGGAUCCUAUAUGUGCUUUCACGCAUAACGUGGCGGUAGUCUAGCUAAAUUUAAAUUCUAUUCAUUUCAGUAAUUAACAUUGUUCAGUAAUCAUAUUCAGUAAUAUUGUUUAUAUAAUUCAGUAGCCAAUCUGUUGCAUUCAGAUUUAGUUCUUUUUCCAAGUAAUCUGUUUCCUUCAUGGCUCUUUUUCUUUUUGCAAGUUCCUUGGCCAUUGUUUGAUGGUCGAUGAGAAUGAACUAAAUCCCGCACAUUCAGUAUGUCAUCUUUGUUAGUAUUUCAGUAAUUCUAUAUUAGUAAAAUCCCCUGCUACUACACACCUCAGUAACAGAGUAAUUCCAUCUUAGUAUUUCCUCCAUCCUAUUUUGUAGUAUUUUCAGUAAUUCUCUAUUACUAAAACCCCUGCUACUACGUACCUCAGUAUUGAGUAGUUAGGCCUGUAGUAUCAGUAAUUUGUUAGUUUAGUAGUUAGACCAGUAUUUUUUUUCGACUCUUUGAGCACUGAUGAUAUGAACCGAGUAGGUAGUCUAGUAGUUUAGUAAUGAAAUACUAGACUAUUGAGCUGCAUGAGAUUGAAAUAGAGCUCAGUAACUAAAACUACUGAAACUAAAAAAACUACUAAGCUCGUGCAAUUUUAUAUUCAGUAACUCAACAUAGUUUGAAUAGGCUAAUUCCUAAAUCAUCUAGAGCCAGAUACUCAACAUAGUUUGAAUAUGCUAAUUACUGAAUCAUCUGCACAUUUUUUUACCUAUAUAUAUGUUCUAGGUUUUUUCGGGGUAUGUUGGAAAUGGAGACACGCUAAACCCGUCAAGCUAGUCAUUAAACAAGCAACGACGCUGACAAAUUGAGAGUUUUACCGGUGGUAGGUUUAUGUGACAAUAACACCCCUUUCUGACUCAUCGUCUUAUGCAUACGACAGCGAUAGUACUGAAUUUCACAAGAGAGAGGGGUUCCAAGUGAAGAGAAAGAUACUUUAUGUGUUUUUAAGGCUUUUUUAUUUUUGGAGGUUGCAUGAGAUAGUUAAUCAUAACUAAUAUGUGUACAUAUGCGUAGUCACCACCCAACUAUAUGUAUAUCCUUGGAUUCAGUAAUCCAGUAAUUAUGUACAUGUACUAUUCGGCAUUAUGUACUUUUUCCAGUAAUUUCU